rnacentral:rRNA from 1 species
GAUGAACGCUGGCGGCGUGCCUAAUACAUGCAAGUCGAGCGAACAGACGAGGAGCUUGCUCCUCUGACGUUAGCGGCGGACGGGUGAGUAACACGUGGAUAACCUACCUAUAAGACUGGGAUAACUUCGGGAAACCGGAGCUAAUACCGGAUAAUAUAUUGAACCGCAUGGUUCAAUAGUGAAAGACGGUUUUGCUGUCACUUAUAGAUGGAUCCGCGCCGCAUUAGCUAGUUGGUAAGGUAACGGCUUACCAAGGCAACGAUGCGUAGCCGACCUGAGAGGGUGAUCGGCCACACUGGAACUGAGACACGGUCCAGACUCCUACGGGAGGCAGCAGUAGGGAAUCUUCCGCAAUGGGCGAAAGCUUGACGGAGCAACGCCGCGUGAGUGAUGAAGGUUUUCGGAUCGUAAAACUCUGUUAUUAGGGAAGAACAAAUGUGUAAGUAACUAUGCACGUCUUGACGGUACCUAAUCAGAAAGCCACGGCUAACUACGU